rnacentral:rRNA from 1 species
UACGUAGGGUGCGAGCGUUAAUCGGAAUUACUGGGCGUAAAGCGUGCGCAGACGGUCAUGUAAGUCGGGUGUGAAAGCCCCGGGCUCAACCUGGGAAUUGCAUUCGAGACUGCAUGGCUAGGGUGCGGAAGAGGGAAGCGGAAUUUCCGGUGUAGCGGUGAAAUGCGUAGAUAUCGGAAGGAACACCAGUGGCGAAAGCGGCUUCCUGGUCCAGCACCGACGUUCAGGCACGAAAGCGUGGGGAGCAAACAGG